GAUGAACGCUGGCGGCGUGCCUAAUACAUGCAAGUCGAGCGAACGGACGAGAAGCUUGCUUUUCUGAUGUUAGCGGCGGACGGGUGAGUAACACGUGGAUAACCUACCUAUAAGACUGGGAUAACUUCGGGAAACCGGAGCUAAUAUCGGAUAAUAUUUUGAACCGCAUGGUUCAAAAGUGAAAGACGGUCUUGCUGUCACUUAUAGAUGGAUCCGCGCUGCAUUAGCUAGUUGGUAAGGUAACGGCCUACCAAGGCAACGAUGCAUAGCCGACCUGAGAGGGUGAUCGGCCACACUGGAACUGAGACACGGUCCAGACUCCUACGGGAGGCAGCAGUAGGGAAUCUUCCGCAAUGGGCGAAAGCCUGACGGAGCAACGCCGCGUGAGUGAUGAAGGUCUUCGGAUCGUAAAACUCUGUUAUUAGGGAAGAACAUAUGUGUAAGUAACUGUGCACAUCUUGACGGUACCUAAUCAGAAAGCCACGGCUAACUACGUG
rnacentral:rRNA from 1 species